GCCUAGCAGAAAACCAUGGGCAAUUUCAAAGGGCAUGCCCUCCCUGGAAGCUUUUUUCUUCUUUUUGGCUUAUGGUGGUCCGUGAAGUAUCCACUGAAGUACGCCUGUCGAAAAAACAAGAACGCUUGCUACCUUGGCUCCAGGGCAGGAUUUCAGCGCCUGGAGUUUGUUGAGGGGAUCAUCAAAGCCGUCUUUGCCCUCAUUGGAAUGGUGGCUGAGCAGUUUGUUCCUGAUGGACCUCAUCUGAAGUUGUAUAACUAUGAGAAAAAGCACUGGGAUCACUUGAUGAACUGGCAACAUGCCACCAUGUACCUCUUCUAUGGCAUUUCGGGGUUGGUUGACAUCGUGGCACAUGGGACCAAUGCGCUGCCAGCAGCCAUGGACAGGAUGAUGCUUUCCUUAGCAGUCUUUAUUGAAGGUUUUCUCUUCUGCUACCAUCUUCACGGAAGAGCCAUGCUGGAUGUUCAUGUUCAUCAGUUACUGCUAUUUGCUAUCUUUGGAGCUGCUGCCUGCAUAUUUUUGGAAGUUUUCUUCCGUGGCAGUAUUGUGCUGGAAAUGCUCCGUACAAGCCUCUGCAUAUUACAAGGCAGCUGGUUCUGGCAGACUUCAACCAUCUGUGUGACUGAAAACCACACACUGGCUGCAGCAUGGGAUAUUUGUAAAAGAUUGGCUUUGUGCUUUAUCCUCCAAAUGGGAGCCCAGAGUGGAAUCAGACAGAUCAUACUAAUAUGAUGUUCUUGACCAUGUGCUAUUGCUGGCAUUAUGCCUUUGCUUUUCUUAUACUUGCAGUGAAUUACACAAUUGUCAGCUGGGCAGUUCGUUCAAAGGUUAAACGGUCCCAAUCCAUGGAAAUGGGUUUACUGAAAACAUGUGAACGAGAUCAUGAGUCAGAAGAUGAAAUUUAGUAUGAAUAUGGCUUGACUACCUUACCCGCUCAACUAUUAGGCUAAUAACCUUGUUUUUACAUUUUUUUGCCAUCUUGUUCAUUCAUUACUACAACUUGCUAUGCAAUUAUCAUUCCCCUAUGAUGUCUACAUCUACACAGUUACACCUUUGUUUUUGGAGGGUAAGCUUGGUAUCAAUUUGCAGUGGUUGCACUAGUACCUUGCUUAUUACAUGCUUCAAAGAAAAUCCAACUAAUAUUAGACUGACUUGGAGUGUAUGAGGUGGCACAAUGAAGUCUGCAUGUUGCCUUAUUAAAAGCUAAGCAAAAUGUUUUUCAGUCGCCACUGAACAUACUUUUAAG